rnacentral:lncRNA from 1 species
UAGAACUUAAACACACCGUCUAGCUCACCAUAACGUUUUCAGCUUGCAUUAAUAUGUGCAGCUUUUAUGUGGCUAACUUAAUCCUCCACUCCCAAGCGUUCAAUCAACCUAAUCGCAAUCUAGGCGUAGUCUGUUCAGCUUACCGAUUACGACAACGGUGCAAUUUCGUCAUUAUGAAUCGACAAUCUAUAUAUAAAUUUGUCAGAUUCUUGACGUGAAAUUCAUCAGUUCCUCUCCCUCAAUCAUUAUAAUCAAUUUCUCUCUCGAUGGUUUAGUUUCCCUUCUUCUCAUCGCUGCUAUAUUGCAUGGAUCAAUUUUGUUUGUAAUGCAUCUCUAAUCUUUUUUGAUGUAUUUUUCCCGGAGUUUCUUCCCUGCCUUGACUAAGAUCGUCGGGACUCUCGAUCCUAAAUCCCGAUCCGUCGAAACUCUCUCUGGUUAGUGACUUACUUUUCUAACAUGAUUCGUAUUUUCCUCACUGAUAUUUAUAUUACUCUAAACAGUGGCCCGAUUCGAUUCUCCAUGGGUGACUCUGAUGAUCUGAAAAUUGUUGUGAAGAGCACAAGCUUGGUACUGUAUGUUCUCUUCUUAAAUUUGGAUCAUUUGAUUUAUGUUUUUGCAUAUGCGUGUUGAUUCGUUUUUGGGUCCUUUAGGUUAUGCUUGAUAACGUGUAUCUGAGUUGCAAUUUGUCAACAAUUCUGAGAAAGCUAUUACUCUUACAGUUGAUGGACUUAAGACUUUGACACUGAAUCAAUAUUAAAAAAAAAAGCCUCUUCUAUUGUCAUUACCAUUAUUUAAUGUGCUUGCCAACGUUCGUUCACUAUGAGAAUGAGAUGAUAUCAUAUAGCUAAUCAAUGAUUUGGUGAGUUUGCUUAUAUUUCAUGUUGAUGUUUCAGGAAGUGAAGAAAGGAGAUACUAUCUUUGUUUGACAAUACCUAUUCACUGGUACUGAAACAACUUCAGUUUGGCUUUAGGUAAAAAAUAAAUAAAUAGAAGCUAAUGAAUGGUCUCUAUGUUGAAGUCUUAGACAGUUGAAUCUAUAUUUGUUUUAAAAAAAAAACAAAAAGAGUCGAUAGAAUUUUUCAAAUACUCUCUUCUUCCUCUGUUCUUCUCAUUCUUGGUUUGUUUUCUUGAUUGUAAAUCACAGAAAGUAUACGUAAAUUAUUGGGUCCUCUUUUUGAAUGGUGGAAGCAAAUCCAUGAUCGCAUCGAACACUGUCAUGACCACUCUGUCAUGGAGAUUGACGAUGAAGAAAUCUCUUGGAUCACCAAUCGUCCUGCUGUUCAUCUGGAGAUGGGGAAGGUAUAGUCUUAAUGAACUAAUAGAAACCUUAUAUCAAUUGUGUUUUAUAAGGCAGAGAUUUGAAUCACUUAUAUUAGUUUAACAAAAUCACAAUAAUUAUUUCUGAACAACAAAACAAAAUCUAUCUUAAGCAGCAACGUCUUGAUCGUUUGAAAAAAGACCAUAGGCUGAUGUGAUCUUCAUAUUUUGUUCAAUGUUCAGAUAAAGCUGAGGCUCAGGAGGGUGAGAUGGUUGGGAAGGAGCCUGAGGUAGAGAAGAAAAGAGAACGGGAGCCGGAGUUUGAAAAACAGAAGGAGAAGAAGCAUACAACUUUGAAGGAGAAAGAGAUGGAGAAUACUGCGUACAAGGACUUCGAAACUGCUAUCAAUAAGAGAGAGAUACAGAAACAGGAAGAGGUGAAGCGUUUAAAGAGGGAGGCUGCUAAGGUAGAGAGAAAGCACAUAGAAAAAAUAAGAAGAGGAGGCCCGGGAGUGCGCAAAGCGUCAAGCUGCAAGGAGAGAAGCUACUAGACUGAGAAUGAGCCAAGAGAAGGUACUUCCUCUUGACAGAUCUGAGAAAGGACCUGAUGCUACACAUGCUACAAGAGUCAGCAGAAGUUAUUUGAUUCUUUGUCGAUGCUAGAUAAAUUCUCUGGAUAAGUUCUUUGAAACAGCAUAAACAUAUACACAUUACAUUUAUACAUGGAUGAAUUAGAAAACCUGUUUUAUGUAAUGUGUCUCAGAACAUUUGUGAAAAUAUAAUGAUCAG